rnacentral:lncRNA from 10 species
GAUGGGCACAUGGACCGAGGUCCUGGGAAGCCGCCUGCUCCCACUUGCAUCCUGCCUGUUACUCUCGUCACCCAGACGCUGUUCACCCAGGCUCUGCAGCAGGCGCUGGGCUGGAUGGUCUACCGUGUAAACGAGGGGAUUUCCCAUCCCACGGGCUGCUUGAGGAGCAGCAGCCUCACAGAAUGGCCAUGCACAGAGUGCAGGGCGGCAGGACGGGAAGGCCCUGCCUGGAGUCAGGCACACGAGUGCCACAGUAGUGGCAUGAUUUUGCCCACCUGAGACUCAAGGACUGGGACACCUGUCCCUCCUCCUCCACCCACGCUGCGGGGAACUGCAUGGCUCCUCCGGGCGGGGACCAUAGCUUUCCGCCUCAACGUACCUGGGGCUCGGCAUGCUGCGUUGAAUUUUGGAGUGGAUGAGGAGUGAGGGUGUGGCAGGGCGGCUGGAGCUGCCCAACUGCUGAAACUGCUGCAGGUGCCACAGCGGCUGGCUCCCUGAAAGCGUCCUCCUGCCUCUGAGACCGUAGCGCAGGAGGGUGCGAGUGCACCUCCGCAAGGCCUGACGCUGCUGAUCCACUUCCUCUCCCCACGAUGGGGACACACUUGGCGACAGUUCCAUCUGGGGAAGAGACCCAGCCGGAACCCAGGGAAGAGCAGGCUGUGAAAACUGGGCAGAAACUUGCGGCGACUCGGAAGACACUGCCAGGAAACCCUCCCCGGGCCUCCUGUGGGGCUUGUAGCAGCCGCAGGGGUUGGCUCUCACCUUCUAGUCCCAGCCAGGUUGUCUUGGAGUCAGCUAAUGGGCAAGGCCCCUACCUCUCUUAGGAUCUGAGGAUGGGAGGGGCUGCGUUUUUCCAGAGGAUCUGCACGUGUGCAGGCUGAGUGUUGAGACUUGAUUGGUGUCAACUGGCACUGCCUGCCCAUGAUGCACAAAAGCUACUGUAAGAAACAGGGUCCAUGUCUCCAGGGAGCAGGACCCCGUUCUGAGGCCACAACCCCGAGGGCAGUCUCCGCCUGCAGAGUCCUCCCUCUCGCACCGGCUCACCUCGUGGUGAAUCCCUUGGCUACGGUUUGGUGUGAGAAAAGAGAUGGGUGUUUCACUCCCUGCUGCAUCCCUGGUGACGGCCCUGGCAUUUCGGGGCAUGAGAUCUUUGCUUAAAGGUUUUGCGGUGGUCACUGCACAGGGGGUGGGGGUGGGGUCCCUUGGUGCAAUUUAUCCGAUUCUGCUGCGUGGAUGACAUCCACAGUGUUCCUCUCCAGUGGGGAUUAUCUGAGACCUUUCCGCAUGCCCGCACCCACAGUCCGCUCCCUCACGGCAGCAUGAACUCAGGAGGCGGGCGUUCCCACAGUCAUUACAUUUGCAGGGCCUCUCUAUGUCCACUCUGAUGCCUGAGGACCAGCGCUUCCACGAAGGUGUGGCCACGUCCAGUGCUGCUCAUUGGCUUCUCUCCUGCGGGAAUGUUCUGAUCCCGAACGGAGCCUGAGCAUGCGCGAAACCCUUCCCACGUUCACAAGGUGCUUCUCCAGUGUUCCAUUACAUCUCACCUAUGCACACUACAUGCAUACGGUUUCCACCGGCUGUGCGUGUCCCUAGAAGUCACAUUCACGGCGUUUCUCCCUGGGAGGAAUUCUCCCGUGCAUGGCUGCUCUGAGACCAUUUGCACCUGCGGCCACGCGUGGGCUCCUCGAGGCUUACAAACCAGGCUGGACUCCUGAAGCCCUAGCUGCACUUGGCACUCGGCGAGGUUUUUCUACAAAAUCUCAUCUCAGCCAUCUGAGUCCUUCACCAUUUAUCUUAUGAAUCCGCUCGAACGUACAAGGAAGGCCUCUCUGCCCUCCUGCUCCAGGGAGGAGGUUUUGACCCUCAGCUCCACCUCUGCGGCUGGCCCGGUCUCCGCAAACCUUUUUCUGCUUGGCCAGCUGGUGCCAUGCUAGGCUUUCCCACUAGGGGCGCCAGAGAAAGCGCGCGAGGCUGCGGAGGAGAGAGGGGCACACUCUUUCCGGUUUGCUUCCGGUUUUUUCCUCAGGCUUCCGGUCUGUUUGGUGCCCUGGUCGCGUGUCUUCCGAACUCUGCUGCUUCGCCCCGGCAAGAGCACUUCCUUCCGCGGCUGCUAAAACUGGUGCGCGGGUUCCCAACUUCGCAGAAGAGCUUCAUCGGCCCCCCGCUAGAGACCUCAGACCGCAGCCAUCGACGCCUCGCCUCGGGGAUCUGUCCCCACCCUCGGGGCCAGCCCUAGCGUAGCAGGUGCUCCCUGCAGUUUUUGCUUCUGAGAUAGAGUUCUCUUUUCAGCUCCUUCGGUAGUCACUUCGUACAUAGUGAUUCAUGAUGCGAAAUCCUCUCUGUUGAAAUAACUGACGAGGCCUCUGUCUUCUGACUGGACCCUGACUUCCAUGCCCUUUCCACUCUCACUCCAGUACAUGCCCAAACCCCAAUCUUUGUUGCUCCAGGCAUUGCCUCUGUGGCGCUGUGUCCCCUCCUUUGAACUCUGAUCCUUCUGCUCAGGCCCUUUCUCCCAGUCUGAAGUAACUCACCAUGAGUCAGGCCCUGUGCUAGGUGCUGGGAUGAAGCAGUGACUGACACAGGCCUGGACCUGUCCUUGGGAAGAGUGCGUCUGUGACACAGAUACUGUGCCAUGUGGCAAAGUAAGCGCGUGGGACAGCAGAGCCUUGUUUGCCAUUAAAGUAAUAUCACAAGUCUGUUAAGGUUGGAGAAUCAAGUGAACAUGCUGAAAAGUUAUGGGGAAUGUAGUCUCAUAGCUGGGGGAGCUGGGGGCCUUGUCAAUUGGUUCCCCCAGUCUGGAGAGCAAUCUGAGAGUAAGUAGUGACACUGUGUGUGCUGAGUGUGUCUGUGGGGGUGUUUUUGGAUAAAAUUAACAUUUGAAUUUGUGAACUGAGUGAAGCAGAGUGCCCUUCAUAAUGUGGGUGGGCCUCAUUCAAUUAGUUCAAGGCCCGCAUAGGAACCACCUCCUGCCUGACUGAACCGGGACCUACGUCUUUUCUUGCCUUCAGACUUGAAUGGAGACAUCAGCUCUUUGUGGGUCUCAAGUCUACUGGCUUUCAAUCAGCUCUUCUGCUUGACAGCUGCAGGUCUUGGGACUGCCCAGCCCCCAUAACCCUGUGAGUGCAUUCCUGAUAAUAACCCUCUUUCUCUUGUCCUCCCCCACCCCACAUCAUUGGUUCUGUUUCUCUGGAGAACCAUAAUACAUCAUUUACUAAUCAGGAAAUAGAUUCAGAGACAUUAAUAACUCAUCCAACCUCACAGUUAACUGUAGAGUUGGGCUUGAAAUUCCAAGGUCGAUUUUCUUAGCCAAUACACCAUGCUACAUAUAUGUAUGUAAAAAUAAAAACGCUUGUGAACUGAAAAGGGUCCAAACUUAAGCUCAUUUUGGUCCUUAAUUGCUAAUCCAUAGGCAUGUUUUGGUCCUUAAUUGCUAAUCCAUAAGCAUGUUUCGGUCCUUAUUUGCUAAUCCAUAGGCCUGCACACCUGCCCCCAAGGCCAUGG